GGGGGCAGCGCGCCUGCUCCUCGCGGACGGGCAGGCACCCGCAGACUCCAGCGAGCGCCCGCACGGCUGCGUGACCAAGCGACCAAUGGGACGCGGCCCUGCGUCUGCGCGUGCGCUGAGAGCUCGUGGGCGCAUGCGUGGUAUCGACAUGGUGGGGGCUGAGGGGGAUAGUUUGUGUUUAGUUCAGGUUGGAGGUUCAGGUUUGUCACCUUCCAACCAUCACAUAUAACACAGUGAGCAGGUUUCGUGGCGCUGCUGUCAGGAGUUCCCGCAGCUCUGGGUAGUGCUGUGCUGUGCCUUUGAGUUCUGGAAAUGAACAAAAAUCUGGUGUCUUCAAGAAACAAAACAUGAAACUUUUAGCCCUAAAGUGCUUUAAUCUGAGGGAAGCACAAGGCCAUGGAGCAGCAAUCUAGUGCAACCGUGAGGAUCAUAAGUUCUUGUAGUCCUCGUGCUUCAUUCUGAAGAACAGAGGAACUUGAAUUUCUUAGACUCAAGCAUAAAGUUUUCUUCCCAAACCUAAAAAGCCUUAAAUUACAGCUGGUAUCAGUUAGUAUCCCUUUUUCUGCUGGAAAGCCACCCUGCUCCUCGACAAGAGCCUCAUGCUGUGCUGCUUGCUGAAGAUGCUGGUAGACCACAAAUAGAAGAACCUGUAAAUCAGGACCUACAGGAAGGUAGUACAAGAAAAAAUACUUAUUUACAUACUUCCUGCUAUUGUGCAGUAAAACUUGAGCAGUCAGCUAGAAGCCUAGUAGCUUUUAUUUUUAUGUGCUUACAUUGAAUAGUCCUAUUGAACUCUAUGGCAGUUCCCAUGGUUGAAGGUUCCUACAUUUGAUUUCCUUGUAUUCACUUAACAGCAGUGACAGCAGCUCCAAAUGAGGUCUUGUGUGUGAGGAGGGAUGCCCCGCAGACCUCUGUACUUUCACACCCUUAAAUGAGAAAUCAAUGCUGCUGCUUUCCAUCCCCAUCGUUUUCGUGCUCUCUGUUUUGCAACUAACCAAACGGUCCACUGACUGGAGAAUACAGAAGGGGCACAAGACCUGUUUUGCUGUGUACAAAAUGAAGCUUGCAUGAUGAACAGAAAUGGCUUAUGGAGAGACCUACUAUGGGUUAAGUUCAUCUCUUUGUACAAGCAAGACUAUAAACUUUAAAUAUGUGACAAUUUGAUGUAGUUUGUACAUAACGUGCACCUGUUGCAGACAGGCUAAAAGAGAUUUAUUUCUGUAGCAUGACUUCUAGCAGUCCUCAGAAUGUGAGUAUGGAGACCAGUUAUCCUAAUGUUGCUGCUUGUCUUAUAAAACCAAAUAGUGUUUCAGGAAUGUGUUGAUUUAAUGCAUGUAAUUGUU